UAGGGAAUCUUCGGCAAUGGGGGCAACCCUGACCGAGCAACGCCGCGUGAGUGAAGAAGGUUUUCGGAUCGUAAAGCUCUGUUGUAAGAGAAGAACGUGUGUGAGAGUGGAAAGUUCACACAGUGACGGUAACUUACCAGAAAGGGACGGCUAACUACGUGCCAGCAGCCGCGGUAAUACGUAGGUCCCGAGCGUUGUCCGGAUUUAUUGGGCGUAAAGCGAGCGCAGGCGGUUUAAUAAGUCUGAAGUUAAAGGCAGUGGCUUAACCAGUGUUCGAUUUGGAAACUGUUAAACUUGAGUGCAGAAGGGGAGAGUGGAAUUCCAUGUGUAGCGGUGAAAUGCGUAGAUAUAUGGAGGAACACCGGUGGCGAAAGCGGCUCUCUGGUCUGUAACUGACGCUGAGGCUCGAAAGCGUGGGGAGCAAACAGG
rnacentral:rRNA from 1 species